rnacentral:lncRNA from 1 species
AAAGGGAAUUCACCUCGUCCUUGAGAGCAACACGGGGAGCGCGAGCGAGCGGGCGAGCGAGAGACGGGGGGAGAGAGAGGGACACGCGCGCGCACACACACACACACCGGCACACACGCACACACACAGACACACACACACAGAGUGAAAAAGGCGAGCCACCAAAACCCAUCUCCAGUCUCCUCCCGGGGGCCCCCAGCCCGCCUCUGUGCCACUUUGCAUCCCACGCCGGAGGAGGCAUUAACGAGACCGGGUAAGGCUUUUUAACCGGUCCAAGGUGUAGAGCCAUACUUCAGGAGGAUCCUCAGAAGUUUUGGACAAGCCUCCCCAAAUGUGGCAGGUGCUGUGCUGGCCAUUGGUGACCCAAAGAUGAUGAAAAAUAUGUUCCUGCCCACAAGGAGUUAGCGACCUACUGGGCUUUCCUCUUGCUGAUGACAUGAUUCCUGUUUGAAUCUGUUGACAAGAUUCUGAAAGCUGAACAGAGAAUUCUGGCACUGCACUGGGUAGGAAAAAGCAUUUCAAGAAAUAGAUAAUAUCAAGGACAUCAGGACACCGGGAGUGGGAGAGAUUGGACUGGGAGACUCAGCAGGUCAGGACGUUUACAUUACCAUUUGCUGGUCAUUCUUUUGCCAUCAGUUUUACAAUUCUCGAAUCUCUUGCCACUUGCUUAUUUCUU